UUAUACUACAUGCUUCCCUGAACAAACGUGAACCCAUCUGAUCUCGGAAGCUAAGCAGGGUCGGGCCUGGUUAGUGCUUGAAUGGGAGACCACGUAGGAAGAUCAGGUCUGUAGGUGUAAA
rnacentral:rRNA from 1 species